rnacentral:sRNA from 1 species
GCGCUGCUGGCAUGAUGUGUUAGUCGCUUGGAGUGCCAUUUCCCAACCUUGCAGAAUUGUUCCGCAAAGCCUUCGUCAACUUGGGAUUGAAUCUUCGGCAAUUUUCGGCUCUUCGCCCUGAGCUCUUACAGGUACCAAGAUUUGUUCUCGGCUAGCAAGGGAGCCAACUCUGUAUGCAAGAUGAAAGCUAGAAAACAAGAAAGAGAAUAGCUCGACAAGAGGCUGUGUUGCAACAAAAUAAAGUCCAGGACCAUGCAGCAUUGCGGGAUACUAAGAGUGGAAAAUCUCGAACACUCGACCUGUGAAAGUCAUGGAUGGUUGGUCUUUCUCGUGAUGUUGCUGUUAUCAAGUUCCUGCAUAUUGCAGAUGAGUAUGCUGCUCAACCGCAACUGCCUGAAGUUUUUUGCUUUUGGCAGAGCUCCAG